CACUACGAUGGAGCAGAUAUCCGUACGCUUGGAGGGCCUUCUACGCUGCGAUGGACUGCCUUAUCGGCUUGCAAUGUAUGUACAUAUGUAUGUCUGUACGCAUAUGGAUACACGCAAAUGGUUCUCCUUGCAGUUUGAUCGUCUGAGAACCUAAGCUCUCCAAAUUACUUAAAUAUAUAUAUAUGUACAUACAUAUUUAGUAUUCACUUCUUCAUACUCGUUUGUUCUAUUUAGUUUCUCUUAAUUUGGAGUGCACACAAUUAUUUACAUACAUAUCUAGUAUAUUAGAAUGAGCGCGGGUACAAUAACCACAUAACACAAAAAGUUGAGGUAGGUUAGGGUUUUAAAUUUAGCUUAAGUCUGGAAAAAAAUGUUAGUAAUAAGGAUAGUAAUGAAUAAUUGUCAUUAGAAUUUUACAAUUAGGUUAUUUUG